GCCCGGACCCUCCCUACACGUCAGUCCCUCCAGCCCUCGGAGGGAGGGGCUAGCAGCAGCUCCUGCUCCUCCAGCCCCCCCGCGCCCCGGCGGGAGAGGGGCUUCACUCGCCGCUGUUGCUCCACCCCCCAAGAGUUCCCGAUACCCCUGCGCUGGGAGCCCAGGAAAGCAGGGAAGGGACCCCAGUUAGACCUUGAAUAGGGAAUAACUAGGGGGUCGACAGAUUGGGCAGAGAGAUCGUAACCCGUCCCUGGAGGCAGCUUUCUGGGAGUCCAGCCCCUUCCCCGGCGGAUGCAAAUUCCAUAGGGAGGUAUAUCUUCAGCGGACUCUCGUGUACUCCCUCCUGAGACUGAGUUUGUUCAUCUGAGGUCACAGACUGGAUGAGAGACUUCUGAAGACUAUCUGAACCAACUUCCACCAAGUUCUCCGACUCCCUUGCGUGUUCAGAGACCUCCUGCCACUGCACUCAUUUUGUCUCUGCCAGUGCAAGAUUCACCAGCCUACACCAGUCUUGAGCCUGCCUGUUAUCAGCAGUUGUUACGAAUACCGAUCACUAAGUCUCAAGCUCAUGAAUCCAUCAUCAAGCUCUAUCCAUCAUGCUCACCACUUUUUUGAUAUUGUCCUCCGGAAUCUUCCCUCAUAUUUUCCUUCUAACACUAAAGAGAUCACUGUUACCCAACUUAGAGAUUUCAUUCUUGAUCUUUUUCUUCAGGGUGAUCUUGUGGAUUUCACUUGGGAUGAGGUAUUAGAGUUUCUGGAACUUCAGUAAAAGUAUGGAUUAUGUCUCUCAUUAAAA